GCCUAGUCAAGAUGAAGCCAGAGGAAACUCUGGUGGAUGUCUGAAGUUAUUCUGACGUGCAAAUCGAUAAUCUGAUCUGGGUAUAGGGGCGAAAGACUAAUCGAACCAUCUAGUAGCUGGUUCCUUCCGAAGUUUCCCUCAGGAUAGCAAGCGUACAUCUUUAGUUUCAUCCCGUAAAGCGAAUGAUUAGAGGUAUUGGGGCGUAUAUAGCCUCAACCUAUUCUCAAACUUUUAAUGGGUGUGAGUGUUCUUUCUCAAUUGAAGAACGCUGCUAAAUAAGUAUGCUUAGUGGGCCAUUUUUGGUAAGCAGAACUGGCGCUGUGGGUUGAACCAAUUGUUGAGUUAAAGUGCCCAAAGCUGUAAUGCGCAUGAGAUCUAUAAAGGGUGUUAGUUGCUGAAGACAGCAGGACGGAGGCCAUGGAA
rnacentral:rRNA from 2 species